rnacentral:lncRNA from 1 species
UAGAGUGUCAUAUUACUUUAACUGCUGUAGUAGUGGUGUGCUUCUUCUACAUCUUGACCUGCCUCUAUACACAUCUUCAAAUCUGAAAAGAAUUAGAAGAAUAGAUAGUACGAGCUGUUGAUGGACUGCUGAAUGUUGAUCUUCUGGUGAAUGCUGUUGUUGCCAGUGAACAAGAGAGUUGGUUGUUGAAUGCUGAUCCUCUGGAUGGCUUUGUUGUCAAAUUGGUGGUGGAGUUCGGGCAGAUGGAGGAGUAUGUCUUGGAUGAUGUUCUUGAGAUUGAAAAGAAUUGCUUGAUGAUGAUGAUGAUAUCAUGAUAUGGUGAUGUGGAUUGGUCAUCUAAAUUUGGAUAAUGACUGAAGAGCAGAAAUAAAGUUUUUGACGAGGAGAAUGGCAAAGGUGUCGCCAAGAAUGAUGGUGAUGGUGGCGAUGAAAAUGGUGCCAAUGGGAAUGUCUUUGGUGAUUCCUCCGAGAUGGCAUUUGGAGAUAGGAUGUGAAGAAUAAGAGGAGAUGGG